AGUUGGGGCUGGAGCAAGAAAAGAUGACAGCUGCUGACAAUGUACUCACCUUCUGUUCCCUGGUCACCCAGCAAUGGACCAAACAAGUGUGUCCUCAUCUCUGCAUUUUGCCAGGGCAAACCUUUGCCAAGGAGGUACAAACAAGUUUUCACAUGAAGUCCGGUUUGUUGAACCUAUCCACUUUCCACUGAUGGAGACCUGAGUGCAAAACUGCUCAAUGCAACUGCAGCCCCAAAGCCACCACAGCAAUCACAGUCCCAAGCCAUCACAGUACAACUCCCCAUAUGAGAUCCCCAAGCCAUCUCCACUACCCCCAUCCGGCACCAUCCCCAGCAAUCCCAAUGAUCUUCAGGCCAUCCUUGUGGGGCCACCCCCAGCAGCAGCGAGCGAUCUCAACCGAUGAGAACGAGUUCGAUUGCUUCUGGAAUUAUCUAUUUGAAGAAACACGUAGAUUGCAGACUUGUGAAGAUUGCCCAGAUUGUGAAAGAGAGAACUGACUCCCCAAGAAGAUCCACCAAAGGCCUGUUCUCCAAAGGAUUUGACCAGUCUUCUGGACCUGAACUUAAGGCCAAGAAUAAGGAUGAAGGUAUCUUGGCUGCUUCUGGAAGCAUGAUCCACCUUGAUGAGCCUCUGACUUCAAGAGUCGAUUCUGACUCUGAUUGGGCUACAAGCUUUCUUGAGGUCACUGCUACUUCUGGAACAGAAAAUGCUGACCACAAGCCAAGAUCCGAUGAAGCCGCGGAAGAAGGACUUGUGGCUAAAUCAGAUGUUGACCUUGAGCAAAUCGUGGCUGCUUCUUCUGAUAUUACUUCCUGAAACCUUCAACUGAUUGGACACCAGGAAUGGGCUAGCCUUGUCCCUUCACCACCUUCUACUGAAAAGCCAGAUUCCCCAAGAGGAUCUGCUAGGAGAAGGACGCGUCCUGUAAAAGCUGGCUCUUUGCCAAACAUAUGCUGUGAUAAAAAAGAUGGCAUCCUUGACCACUCUAGCAUAGAAAAGGGUGUGAGGAAGGGAUUGGGUUCUUCUGGAAGCAUGAGCAGCCAUGAUGAGCCUCUGAUUUCAUCUGAAACAUCAAAUAUUGAAGAAGCCACAGCAAAACCUUCUUCUGCAUACAAAGCAGUACUCUGUGGUUCCAAGAAACAACCCCAACCGGCAACAAAUGAUGCAUCAAAGCAAGACGUCAAAGCAUGGAAUACCAAAAGAGUGUUUUCUGUUCUUCCAUCCAAACUUAAAAUUCCGUCAGCCAAAUCUUCAUUGCACAACAAUGAACAAGCUUCUUCUGGAGGUUCUUCUAAUCAGUUCAGAAGAAAUGACCACCAUGACAACAUGGCACACUGUGAGGAAAGGUUUGAACAGACGUUUUAAAAAAAAGUGACAUGCUGUCUUUCCUCACCAAAUGUUUUUAAAUGCCAGAGUUUAAAAAAAAAAAAAAAAAACAUGUGGCACGGCAUGGUAUGGCUCUCAAACAACCCCAAUCCAGGGAUUAGGAUUGUUAGGAUUUGGUUAGGGAUUGUUACCAGCCAUACCAUGCUGCACCAUUCGGUGGAUAAACCACCAUCAGUUUCCAUUGUUAGGACAGUUAGAGAUGUUUACGACUUCAGACUAUUAAUUAAAAACAGCAACCAGUAAGCUCAAAGAGCCAUCAACCAGGGCGGCAGUUUCCAAGUCAU